rnacentral:tRNA from 1 species
GGAGGGAUCGCAUAGAGGCUGAGUGCGCCCGCCUGCUAAGCGGGUAGGGGGUGAAUAGCCCCCUCAUGGGUUCGAAUCACGGCCUUUG